UAGUAAAAUGAGAGGUCUCAUUAGAGAAGAAGUCUGGUAUUUUCCUAAUGAAGUUAAACGACAAGAUGAAGAAAAUCAGUGAUGACCAUAAUAUGUCCUGGCCUUGACCCUCCAUGCAGCAGUCUGUGCUUUCCAGUCUGGGUGUAAUCCAGCCUCCUGGCCAUCAUUUUCUUGCACAGGGGAUAGAAAUAUCCAUUUUUCCAAUGACAGGACUGCCAGGAUGGUUCUGGGCUGUGAAUGGCAAGGGAAGACCUCCUCCAAGGCAACGUGUUUCCUGUUGAUUCCUGGCUGGGUACUAUGCAAUGUACACAGUUUCCACAGCUUAUGCUUUGCUCUGGGGUUCAAUUCCCACCCCAGGGUCAGCACUGGAGUCCCCUGCUCCAUCUAACCAUUAGGGCUGCGCCUUGAAGUCACUGACGGAGCCUGCAACAGAGCUGGCCAUGGAUUUCAGUUGAAGCCUUUUAACGGCCCCAUUGUGCUGCAUUGUUUUUGUGGGUGUCUGCACCUUUCAAGCAAGCUCCAAUUAGAAGAGGGGGGAGAGGAGAGGAAGAGAGAGGGAAGUAAACAGAGGCAAAACGAUUCAGCUCUCAGCAAAUCCACAGCCUGUUUGUGGGACAGAUGGAGCCACGCAGCGAAUGGCUUUGCUGCAGCAUGGCCCCCGAGCAGGUGGGUAUUUUGGAAGUGAUGAGCGGUUUACCCCUUCAGUUAGCAGCCAUGCAGACUCACACCGGACAUAUGUCAAUAACAGCUCUGCUUGGUUCCUGCUGUCACAGCAAUCGGAACUUGCUUAUUCCUGCCCACCUGCUCUCCAAAGAAAUUGCUGGAAUCAAAACAAACAAACAAGAAGUUACUGACACUUGUUGCGUUAGGAGGACAAAUGAGGGCUCAGAAGCACAUGGGUAUUAUUUCACUUAAGUACUAAUUGCUGAAUGCCUUUCGUUAAGAGACCAUCGUGGUCAUCCCAGCAGUGUUUUGAACUUAUAUGCAGAUGGGCAGAUGGCCCUUUGCUGUAAUACAGGCAGAUGCAUCUAACGUUACAGAUGGAUUAUUAUGUUGAUUUGUCACUGAAAGAAAAACUUAUUUCACAAUAGGGCAUUCAUUUCAGCAUGGUUCUUUCUCAAGCUUCUAUUCUGCCUCUGUAUUGCUGGUUUUCAUUCCAUAAAACAAAGUUCUCAAUCAGCAAGGCUAGCAUUUCCCCUUCUGUGCUGCAAAAAGAGAAAGAAAGAAAGUUAAAGAGCCUUUCUAAGAGAAAGAUGGUCCUUUUGAGAACCUGGAAGAUGCAUUUUAACUUCAGACCUGGAGGCAGGUCUGGAACAGGCUCUGAAGGGCAGUGGUCACAGCACCAAGCAUACUGAAGUUCAAGAAGUGUUUGAACAGUGCUCUCUGCCAUAGGGUUUGGAUUUUGAGUGGUCCUGUGUGGAGCCAGGAGUUGGACUCAGUGAUCCCUGUGGGUCCCUUCCAACUCAGGAUAUUCUGAUUCUUUGGAAAGUGAUGUUUAGUCUUUAUCUCUCUAAGCCAAACUGGUUCCUGGAGCAUCUCCCAUAUGAAGAAAGGCUGAGCAACCUGGAUCUGUUCAGCCUGGGGAAAAGAAGACCAAGAGGGGAUCCAGUAAAUGUUUAUAAAUAUCUAAAGGGAGGUGGAACUUCCUUAUGGUAACGGUGACUAAGAAUAGGUUGCCCAGAGAAGUUGUGAAGUCUCCUUCUGUGGAGAUAUUCAAGACCUGGCUGGAUGCCUACCUGUGCAACCUACUGUGGGGAACCUGCUUUAGCAGGGGGGUUGGUCUCAGUGAUCUCUUGAGGUCCCUUCCAACCCCUGAGAUUCUGUGAUUCUGUAAAACUGAACUGUGUUUUUUCCUAGGUCAAGUCCUCCAGCAUCACUGGGUUAGAAAGGAGAUCCAAGACGGACACAGGGAGGGAACCAGUUUGAAGCUCAAGGAAGGAGACCCCCAGCUCUCUGUGAAGGAUGGGCGUGAGCUGGCAUCGAGUCAGAAUGUCCUUGUGAAGGUGGGAGAGAACUGGAGCGUUGGGGCUCCUCCGCCUUUGAAACCACCUUUGUGUGAGCAAGAACUGGAGCUGUCCUGCAAAGAUUGCCCUUAGGAGACGUGUAUGGGCUUUGCUAUGGAGAACAACAGCUCUUCUGUGGCUGACAGCCUAACACUGGGAUGAAGAGCACCCCACACGUGGCUGAUCUGGAGGCUGCUGCAGUUGCCAGAGCGGGACCCAAGCAUGGAUGAUCCUGAGAAACCUGCACAGCGACGGCCCCUGGACUCCCCUGACUGGGAAGAGGUUAAUUUAAACAGCCUGAAAAGCAGCAAAGGGAAAAGUCAUCUUUCAUGAGAUGGAACUGUGACUGUCCCUUUCUGAGGAACAGGCCUGUACCAGGGAUGCAAGCUAGCAUGUGGUCCUACCCUUUGCAAGAUCCUUUGUGUAUGCAGCCUCCGAUUCCUUCUCCUCCAGUUCCUUAUCUUAGCUUGUAAAACAUGCUGCAUAUGGCCAACAAGGCUAUCUGUGUCUAGCUUACGUGCAAACCUGGAGACAUCUCUGCACAAAUCACCACUGACUUGCAAAAUCCUCCAGCCCUCUGCUGCCUUAUUGUCUUUGUGGUCACAUGCGCUCUAUUUGCUGUGGGUCGUUUACUGCCAACCUUGGAGGAAUGUCAGUAACUGGAAAGCUGAGCUUUCUCCUUUCUGUUUUGUCAGUCAGGGUGUCCAUCAGCAGAUGUAGCAGGGUACUGGAGGACUACAGCCUGCAUGGGUCACGCCUUCAGCUGAAAUGGCACCAGGCAUAGACCAGGUGCCCACACAGGGGAUUUCAGACCACAGCCUGCAUUUGUAGGGCAACUGGGAGGAAAAUGUUGUCUUGUUUGUCAACUGAACUCCACUGAUGCUCACUGAUGUUCUCCUUAUUGUGCCAUAGGGAAGGUUUGUAUGUUCACAUUUACACCUUGGAAGACCAUUUCCAGGGCAUGACAAUGAGCGCAUUUUAGCCGAUUAUUUUGAACAGAAGGGUGCUGGGCUCGGGAGCAUCCCUCAGGACCAGGAUGGGGAUCCUAGUGGCCAGGUGGGCUGGAAGGCUCUGUACUGAACUGUAGGGACAGUGCUGGAGGCUUGGAGGAGAAAAUGGAGACACACCAUGGCUGAAUGUUUUGGUCAACCUCUUGCCAGACUGAGUCUGUACCAGAGCUCCUAAAGGACAGAGCUCAUGUCUUCCUCUGACUCUUCAGCAGCAUGCUUGAUGUUUGUAGGCCAAAAGUGUUCACAUGUGAACACGGUGAGCAGCUCAGCAGCUGAGAGGUGUCAGCUUCUUGCUCCCUUUGAACCACUUGUGCAAGAAACCCCUCGUGUGGUUACUGCCUGGCUGGUAGCUCGUCACCACACCGUGCUAGGCCACUGUGCUGCAGAACAGCAGAACAACUGUGCUUCUAGACAUGCUGCUGACACCACAACAUCCUUGACCAGGCUGGUGCAUGCCCUGCAUCCUCUGAGGUGGUUUCAGGGUGUGUUUGUCUUCAGACAAAAAGCAAUGCUCUGCAUGCCUCCAGAGAGGGUCUGCUGUCUGCUCUCAAGUGAGAGGCAGGAUGUGCAAGCAAAGUCAGGCUUGGUGUCACCAAACCCAGACUCAUUUCCUCCUCCCAGUGUUCGAGGCUCUCUGGAGCAGAGGUUGGACCUGAGACUCAUUUGUAGCCCUCAGCAAACUUCUCAUAAACAGGAAAGAGCACUGUGGGGAGGACGACAAGACAGCAAUCAGUUCUGCUCUGUCUUUUGUUCUUCCCCUCCUCUUUUGUCUUAAGACUAACAAUGCCUUGUUUGAUUUGUUGCACGGACAGCUGCCAGAUGGAAGUAAAACUGUCCUUCAAGAGGGUGGCAGUCCUCAACGGGAUGGUCAUGGCCUCAUCCUGCCUGCAGCUGCGGAAAUGCCACCUACUGGGCCUGCUUCUGGCCUGCAGCCGCUGUGCUUGAGGAAGGCUGCAUGCCGGGAGGGAGGCCCUAGAGAUGCUAUCAAGUGACAAGGACCUUGGGCUCUUUGCCUGGGUUGUGUUCUCUUCCCCAGACUUUCCAGAUCAGAAUAGCGGAGGGAGCCUUCCUUACUGGGGCAUCAGACACCGUGCGGGGUGUUAUCUCAGCCCUGUGACAGCUCAUUGUUUGGUUUCCUUCCGUAAUGUCACUGUGGUGAAGGAGAGAGAAAACUUUUGCUUUCCAACUGUUCUCUCUGUUUUUUGUUUGUUUGUUUGUUUGUUUUGCUGCAGCCCCCUGUGCCUGCUGGUAGCUUCCUCAAGUGCCUGAAGCUGAUUGGGAAAUAGUCCCUGCUGUUAUUGAGGCUUGUCCUGCUCUGGAGGGUGAUGAGCUCCAUGGCAGGAAGCUGCUCUCUCAAAGCAGAUCUCUUCAAAAUUAAAGAGAAGAGUUGGUUCUCUUCUGCAUAAUUUGCUCCUUGGCCUUCAAGAUUUAACAUCCAUUGAAAGUAGGGAUGGCUGAGCUGGUGUGACGCAGUUUGUCCUGCGUACAGGAGGCAUGGCCUAGAGAUAAGGACACUCAACUGAAGCAAGAAGUAGGAGCCAGAUCUCUGCUGAAUUCCCAGAUUACUAAGACUCCUUUUUCUCCACUUCUUUCUAGCUCUAUGAGUCUUGCUUUUGUGACUGCCUGUUGGGUCAUCCUCAACAAGGCAAGCCUGGACCCAGUAACACCAGUGUCCCCCUGUUUAAGUCACCUUCCUGCAACAUGGGGAGUUGAAUCCUUUCCAGGUGGAGGAGAAACUUUUAUUUCUCAUAUCAUGGGUGAGCUGCCGCCAGUGAGCAGUACUGUGCAGUGCAGCUUCUAGUGGCUAUUUUCAGGUACUGUAAUGCCUCAGCUGACUAUUUGUGACUUAUCUUUGACACAAGGGGAUGCACCAGCAGAGAUUCCUGAUUCCUCCUUGGCAGCUAAAAUACCAACAAAAACAGCAUGGAAGUGUCCUUCCUUCCACACCUCCCCACGACCCUAACAGAGGUGUGUGAGGAUUUAGAUUCCUUACAUGCCUGCAAGGCACUCAGCUCAGCUCAAGAGCCUCAUCACAAAGUUAUUAUAGCCUGUGUGCUCCUCAGUGGGUGUGAAGUGGUUAAUGACUGACUUGUAAAACUGCUCUGUGCAUGGGUGAACUGUGUAGGUGUUUUCAGAAACAGCUGUGCCAGUUUCCCCUGUCAGGAUGGGCUUGGGUGCUGGCCAACUUUCCUGUCACUCUCUGUUUGCAAAGCUUUGUGUGAUUGAGUUUUGGUUUUUGAAAUCCGUCAGGUACAACUGAAAUUCAAAAGCUGAAAGCUUGAAAAGCUGAAAGUUUUUAGUAUUAUUUCAGAGCUUGCUUGGUUUUGCAGGAUUCAUCACUGUGAAUACCAGUGUUCUGGAACUCUGUCACAUGAUGAAAUCAACCUACUACUGCUAAGAAGCACCAGUUUGUAACUUAAACACUGAUUAUGCCAGGAGGAGAAGCCCAAAUCCAUUUAGAUGAUGCUCAUCAAAGAUCUCUGUGGUCUAGGUCUAUGGUCUAUAUAUGGUGUCUGGAAAGCUGGGCUUGGGUAUGUGUAGGAACUACUAAAUAGGCCAUUUUGACACCCUAGUUUUUGAUGUCCUACAUCGUAACUCCUACAGUGCAUUUAGCAGCUUGUGUGAAAGUCUCUCUAGAAAGUACUGUCUUCUGUCCACUGAAAAUGCAUUUGUUCAUCCAUCACAGAAGCCCCUGGCAGGUGCCCUGGAGGUUUUCAAGGAACAUGUAAACGUGGCACUGAGGGACAUGGUUAGUGGGCAUGGUGGAGAUGGGCUGAUGGCUGGACUGGAUUACCUUAGUGGUCUUUUCCAACCUAAAUGAUUCAGUUAUUCUUUACAGCCACAUGUGGUCAAGGCCUGGAAAAAUCUCUUCUAGGUCAGAGAAGUGGACUGCUUUUACCUCAAUGGACUCAUUUCCUGAGGACAGUAUACCUCAAUGGACUCAUUUCCUGAGGACAGUAACAGGUGAGAUAGAUUUUGUGCACCACACCCAACAUGGCCCAUGCAAUACGGUUUGCUGUCUGCUGUUCUCAAUUCCCAGACUUUGUUCUCCAAGCUAUUGAACUUGUCACGUCCCCCUGACGCUGAUAUUUUAGGAGAAACUAGAGGCUUCUGGAAUGAUUUGUUCCCAUACAAAACUGGAAAUGAGUUUCCACCCACUGAUACUAUUUAUAAGCAAGUAGUAGCAGCAUUAAACUAGAAUCCCUGCUGUUCCUGAUGCUACUCAAGGAAUACAUGGUUGUUACUGUCCCAUUACGGGCCCGGUGGGUGUGAAAGGUGCGGCUCAUUUUGAACCAUUUCUUGUUUAUUCUUAUCACUCUUGAACACCUGUGAGUCAGAGGUCUGUCUCUGGCUUUCUUUCCUUCUCUCAGUCUACAUUUGCAGACUAAAAUGGUGGGUUUCUGGUAGAUCUUGUCACUUCUAUGUAAUUUGGCCAUUUCAGAAUGAAAUACGUAAAUGAACUUAGGCUGCUAAUUGCCCUGUCCUCUGCACUUGUUAUGGGUGACAUCUGGGCGCAUUGGUAUGAGUUGUGAACAGUCAUGCUUUCUGCGAAGAACCUAAGCCAGAACUGGAGGAAAUUAAAUCUACAGAUAGAAGGAUGUAUUUCUGGUGCCACUGCAACCAGGGACCCAUCCCUCCCUUAGCUUUUUUUUUCAAGCUGAAGAGUUGAUUCAGUUACUUGGCAGUUGGGUGCCGUUUCAAGCCUUUUGCUAUCUCCUUAUUGAGAAAAUUGACUAGGGCUGCCUAAAAUUUCCAAUUUCCUUUUUAUUUUCUUUGCCUUGCUCUAGUUAUUCCUAUCAUUCUCUUUUUCAAAGCGACUGAGCUGGAAUUUUCAGAUGAUUGCUCACAAUGACUCUGGUCCUUUUACUUUCUGUGUAUGGCUAAUGUGAUUUCUCCCACACAGAUUAACCUAUGCUUAUUGACACUGCAUUUUACCAGUGGUUUCAUUGCCUGGUCACUCAGCAUCAUGUCACAGUUAUUCAUAUUCAGAUUUAGAUCUCAAAAUCCUGGAUAACUUACAGCAGCUGGUCACUUGAUCAUUUGAUUGCUCAUCCCUUUUCCAGAUCACUGUGAUGGUAGUGAACAGAAGAAAUUCAGCAUAAAUUCUCAGGGGACUUUCCAGAAGCUUAUUAUAUAAGUGUUACAUAUGUAUUCACACAAAAAGGUACACAAAGAAACAUAUGCAUGCAUGUGUACGUGCAUUAUCAUAUGUAUGUGUGCAUACAUAUAAUAAUUUAUGCCUACUUUUAACUUCUGGUAUUUCAUUCUUAUGAGCUUCUGAUAUUUCAUGACAGUAAUUUCUUUAAGAACCUUGACUGGGAGAGAGAAUUCAGCUGCCUGUGUUUUUCAAAAACCGGCUGCAGUGAAUCAAUAGAACAGCUCUGGCCCUCAUGCCUGACAACUUUCCAAAAAUAUCUGAUGGAUUUGUGAGGUAUGGCGUGUCUUUAUAAAAGCUAUGUUGACUUCCACUGACCAAUUGAUCCAUUGAGCUAUCUACUUCACACAGACACACAAGUUGAAGAGGGCUUCUGGAGUUCUGUGGUCCAAUCUCACAUUGAAAGCAACCAACUCUGCUGUUGUCUGGCUAAGUCUUGGAAACCCCCAAGGGUAAAGUUCUUACCUCCUCUCCAGAUGUAGGUCUCAGAGCUGCACCAUCCAUCUCCAGGAAAAAAAAAAACAAGUGUCCUAGUGGCCAAUCUGAGCUUCCUAAGUGCAGUCUAGCAACCUCUUCUUCUACCCUUUAUUACUGUUCCUCACUUGACUUUUCACCACUGCCAAGAAGAAUUUGAUUCCAUUAUUUAUUGCUCUUCUUCAAGUAGUUUGAUUUUUGGAGACUCUCCAUCCUUGACAAUAUUGACAGCUGGAGCAGACUGCUCAGAAGUUGAGUCCUCUGCUCUGAGCAGAGGUUAGAGUAGGGGUGUCCAGAAGCCCCUUCCAACAUGAAUUAUUCCAUAAUUCUACAGUCAGGCUGGACUCCAGUAGUGAGUUUCUCCUCAAGGGAAGUCCAAGGUGAUUUGUUAGGAGGUAUCAUCUACUAUAUCUUGGCACUCCAGAAACAGUUUGAAAAUUUCCAAGACACGUAUUGUUGAGUAUCCUUGGCAUACCGGAGCAAAGUGAGCAAAACAGCACAGGAAGUGCUUUUCACACAUUUCCUCCAUGCGUUCAGUUGAGAUGCCUGUAUUAGGAAAGAGGUUGCAAACUGAUAUUCUGCCACUGUCUCAUUUUGAGUUGUUCGUCCAUUUUUUGAUUCAGUGUUUGUUCGAAUGAAAUGCUGACUGGAAAACAAAGCUUAUGUCAGCCCUUACCAGCAGAGCAUUCUUUUGAAGGUAAAGAGCUGUAAGGCAGCAUGAUAGGAACAGUGAGUCCUAUCAGAGCCAGCAGCAAAACACUUAAAUGCUGAAAUAGUUCAGCAUCUGCUGAGAGCAAGAACUAUCCAUAUAAAAGACACUAAUCUGUCAUAGACUUUAAAGCUAGAAGGGAUUAUGAUGAUCUUUCUCUCUAACCUCCUACAUAAUUCAGACCAUACGAUAUCAUUUCACAUCAAGCUCUUAUCUUCCAAAUGAGCCUGAAAAAGGCAUCCACUCUUGACUGAAGUACUGACAGUGAUGAAGAUUCCAUCCUAUCUUUGGGAGAUGAUGGUAAGAUUAGUUAUCCUGACAGUUAUGAAAAAUACAGUCUAUUUCAGUGCUUUGUUUCAGCUUUCAUCCACUGGCAUUUGUGAUGCUUUUUGCUGAAUUAUGUGCUUUUCUACUAUCAGGAAGUUUGGCUACCAAGAGUAAUUUUGACCAGCUUUCUUACCUUUUUUCAGUGUGUGGUCAAAGCCUCAGAAGGACCCAGAAGAACUAUUUCUGGCUGGGUUGUAGACGUUUCAGAUAACCUUGACCUUAGCUUGUUUCUGCUAAUGGUGAUCCUCUGUAGAACUGAGAUAAUGAUACUUCCCUCCCUCUCACAGGUGUUGACUGAGAAAAAAAGACCAUUAAAAUUUCUCACAUGCUACAGUGGGAGGAAAAUAGUGGGUCACACGGAGAUCAGAGGCUGGAUAUUACAUUCCAAGAUGUGGUUUAGUGCAGCAAUCUUAUCUACUGGAAACUGAAGUCCUCUCAUAUUGCUGCAAGAUAUGAGCUGCAUUUUCAUGUAUGGAUAGUGGUGCUCUGAAUCAAAAGACAAUAUCUGAAAACAUUUGUAUAGAGUGGUAGUUGAAUAUCUGUGAAAGAGAGAAGAUAUUUGGGGACAGUAGGGGAUAAUUGCUUUCUUUGUAGGGGACAUUGAGAUAAGGCAAUGUAGAUCAAGUGAAGACUAUUUCUCAUAGCAAAACACUUACCAAGAUGUAAAAACAGAAGCUCAUCUAUUUGAUUCAGUUCAUCUGUCUACUCUAAAUGGAGCGUUUAUUUGUAAUGGAGCCAGUGGUCUCAGUUAUCAGCCAUACCUUUUACAGUCAAAGCCUAGACCAAAAUAGCUUCCAAGUCCUUCUGAUUUUCUAUUUUUGUCAGUGAUCUGCUUAAAUGCUGAGGACACUCAGACCAAUCUAAUUGGCUAAGCAUUUGUGCUAGAGGAGUGGAUCACCUCCCUAUAUUUAAAAUGAACAUAUAUAUGAUGUCCUUGGGGUGGGAGAGCAGGGGUGUCUCGUGCUGCCAACUGCUGAGUCAUGGCUGAAAACCAAGGAAGAUGAACCACUCAGCACAAGGCUGGUGUCUCCUAUACUGUUGCUCUGUGGUGCUCAAGAUGUGAAGUACUAUGUUGGGAUGAGUUGAGAUAGAAGAUGAUCUCCCUGUUUUGCCUCCCAUGCUAGGGUCAGCUUUUUUUCAGCCCUGGUGACCAAGUCUGGAUGGAGCUUUGCUGAUGAUGGGGAAUGACUCAGUGGCAUGAGACUCCCCUCAGCCAUGUGUCAGGGAGUAGGUCUUUGUAGAUCAAAUAAGACCUUCAACUGAAAUUCAAAGGAGGUUUUUCCUGUUGUCCACUGUUUUCUGUUAUGCAUAAGUGAUAUAGAUGGCUUUAUUUUCUAGAGUCCCAAAUGCAUGUGAUGCUGAGCUGAUAUUUAGGCUAAAAAUCAACAGCCCAGAUGUCCAUCCCCAUUUUCAUACACAGGGAGUGAAAGACUAAUUCAUUUGGCUCUCUUCUUUCCCGUUGACAAGUUAUCAUAAACAGAGAUGUGUCCAAGUCUGUAUCACAAAAAUUGUUUAUCCUCUAUGGUAAAAACAGAUAUUGAAACAGAAAUCUGAGACUUCUUCCAGAUUACUCUGGGUUAAAGGCUUUGGUCAAACUAUAUAGUCAAACUAUAUAAGUUUGGUCAACUUAUAUAGUUGCUUUAUAUUAUUUGCUGGUUCAUAAAGAGUAAUUCAGCAUUAACAUGUUAAGUCAAUAAUUUUCCUCUCUUCUGUAUCUGUUUUUACAUAGCAGCUGAAACUGAUGAAUCCUGUGAUGGAAUUAUAGAAUUAUAUCAUAGAAUCAUAGAAUGGCCUGGGUUGAAAAGGAACACAAUGAUCAUUGAGUUUCAACCCCCCUGCUAUGUGCAGGGUCACCAACCACCAGACCAGGCUGCCCAGAGCCACAUC